AUUGAACGCUGGCGGCAGGCCUAACACAUGCAAGUCGAACGAGUGGCGGACGGGUGAGUAAUGUCUGGGAAACUGCCCGAUGGAGGGGGCUAACUACUGGAAACGGUAGCUAAUACCGCAUACCAUCGGAUGUGCCCAGAUGGGAUUAGCUAGUAGGUGGGGUAACGGCUCCCCUAGGCGACGAUGCCUAGCUGUUCUGAGAGGAUGACCAGCCACACUGGAACUGAGAAACGGCCCAGACUCCUACGGGAGGAAGCAGUGGGAAAUAUUGCACAAUGGGCGAAAGCCUGCUGCAGCAAUGCCGCUGGUAGGAAGAGGGCCUUGGGGUGGUAAAGUACUUUAAGUGAGGAGGCGGUACUCGCAGAAGAAGCACCGGCUAACUCCGUGCCAGCAGCCGCGGUAAUAC
rnacentral:rRNA from 1 species